rnacentral:tRNA from 3 species
UUGAUUUUUCGACUCUGUAUCAUCGGUCUCGAAAACCGGAGUGGGGGCAACUCCACCGGGGGUUCAAAUCCCCCUCUCUCCGCCA